ACAUUCUUAGUAUCUUUUGCCGUAAGUGUCUUUUUGUUGCUUUAGUUCUUUUCAACGCAUGCGCAGUAGAUAUAAAUUAAGAGUAAAAUGACAGAACUGAAACUUCAUUUCAGGAGGCGAACAAUGAGAAUGAAAAACAAAAAAGAAGAAACUAGAGAAGAAAAAGAAACUAGAUGAAGCUCAGCAAAAGGAACGAGAUCGCCAAAAGAAGGUGGCAAAUAAAGUAGCGAGUUUCAAAAACGUAAACCGUACAAACGAUUGCGAAUCAAACAGGAGGGAGUUCAAUGACUUUAUAUCGGCAUUAAAAUCUGGUGACGUAUUUAGUGACGACGCAAGAAAUACGGGGGGCAUCGUAAGGUUAAAGCAAGUAGAGAAGUUUGCCGUAACAUUUAGAAUUACCACGUAUAGUAUCACUACACAUUACAGAGUAAUCUUUAAUUAGUAAUGCUGUGGAGAAUAAUACAUCAUUCACAUUUUUA